CAGUACCCUGUCUAGCCUGCCAGAAGUUUGAGACUGUGUCCCUGGAGUUGAAGCUCAUCAAAGUUGUUUCACCAUGGCACAUGAUCGGGGUGGACCUCAUCGAACCCUUCAUGAAAUCCAGGAAUGGCAACAGCUGGUGUCUGCCGGCGACCGAUCACUUUACCAAGUGGAUGGAGGCAAUACCCAUUAAGGACGAGACUAGCGAGGCCACCUCCAAGGCUAUGGUGAACAUCUUCAACACCUGCCUUCCAGGAGGUAUCCCGUCCACCAGAACCAGUGAGUUUGGAUCAGACUGAUUCUCUGUGUUAGUCGGCGGAGGACCAACUUGAGAUAUGCACUUUAACACUUUUGGAAGGUAUAGCCCAUCUCCCAUUUAUAACACAGCACUAAUCCAUCACAUGUUCUCACAGUAAAGUGUAACCUGUGUGUUAGAUUGUUUACGUCUGUCUCCUACCCUAUUCCCUUUAACUCUGCUCCUGUUCUACAUGAGCUAGGGGUUCUGCCCAACACCAGACGUGGAUCCACCUGCCUAGUGAAAUAAAGGUUAAAUAAAACAUAUAUUUUAAACUGUCCACCAUUACCAACCACCCUACAACUUUGCAUUACAUCAGCUACUGUUGUUGUCAUUAUCUGCUAAGGAAGUUUUUUUCUCUCUGUCAUACCUGGCACAUAAUGUGAGAUACAGACUUAACUAAAAACACUAGCACUGCAAACACUCAGAACAAAGAGAGCAGCAGUGUCUGGACUUUGUCUCCCUCUUCAAGUCCCUCUUCUGAGACUGACUGCCUGUUGGGAACAAGUGACAGGCAGAACGUCCUACCCAUACAGCAACCACCUCUAUA